AGAACGAACGCUGGCGGCAGGCUUAACACAUGCAAGUCGAACGCUCCGCAAGGGGAGUGGCAGACGGGUGAGUAACGCGUGGGAACAUACCCCUCGGUUCGGAAUAACUCAGGGAAACUUGAGCUAAUACCGGAUACGGUCGAGAGGCGAAAGAUUUAUCGCCGAGGGAUUGGCCCGCGUCCGAUUAGCUAGUUGGUGAGGUAAUGGCUCACCAAGGCGACGAUCGGUAGCUGGUCUGAGAGGAUGAUCAGCCACAUUGGGACUGAGACACGGCCCAAACUCCUACGGGAGGCAGCAGUGGGGAAUAUUGGACAAUGGGCGAAAGCCUGAUCCAGCCAUGCCGCGUGAGUGAUGACGGCCUUAGGGUUGUAAAGCUCUUUCGCUAGGGACGAUAAUGACGGUACCUAGACAAGAAGCCCCGGCUAACUUCGUGCCAGCAGCCGC
rnacentral:rRNA from 1 species